rnacentral:rRNA from 1 species
UACGUAGGGUGCGAGCGUUGCCCGGAAUUACUGGGCGUAAAGAGCUCGUAGGUGGUUUGUCGCGUUUGUUCGUGAAAACUCGCAACUCAAUUGUGGGCGUGCGGGCGAUACGGGCAGACUGGAGUACUGCAGGGGGAGACUGGAAUUCCUGGUGUAGCGGUGGAAUGCGCAGAUAUCAGGAGGAACACCGGUGGCGAAGGCGGGUCUCUGGGCAGUAACUGACGCUGAGACGGCGAAGCGUGGGGAGCGAACAGG